ACGGGAGGCAGCAGUGGGGAAUAUUGCACAAUGGGGGAAACCCUGAUGCAGCGACGCCGCGUGGAGGAAGAAGUAUUUCGGUACGUAAACUCCUAUCAGCAGGGAAGAAAAUGACGGUACCUGACUAAGAAGCCCCGGCUAACUACGUGCCAGCAGCCGCGGUAAUACGUAGGGGGCAAGCGUUAUCCGGAUUCACUGGGUGUAAAGGGAGCGUAGACGGCAUGGCAAGCCCGAUGUGAAAACCCGCAGCUCAACUGCGGGCCUGCAUUGGGAACUGUCAAGCUAGAGUUCUGGAUGGGCAGGCGGAAUUCCUGGUGUAGCGGUGAAAUGCGUAGAUAUCAGGAGGAACACCGGUGGCGAAGGCGGCCUGCUGGACGGAUACUGACGUUGAGGCUCGAAAGCGUGGGGAGCAAACAGGAUUAGAUACCCUGGUA
rnacentral:rRNA from 1 species